GAUGCUCGAAACCUGGGGGACCGAACGGGAUUAGAUACCCUGGUAGUCCCAGCCGUAAACGAUGGACACUAGUUGCCGGAGGACUCAAUCCCUACGGUGACGUAGCUGACGCAUAAAGUGUCCCGCCUGGGGAGUACGCUCGCAAGGGUGAAACUCAAAGGAAUUGACGGGGGCCCGCACAAGCGGUGGAGCAUGUGCUAUAAUUCGAUGCAACGCGAAGAACCUUACCUGGGUUUGACAUGGGGGUGAAAGUUUCCAGAGAUGGAAGCCUUUCCUUCGGGAGCACCCCACACAGGUGCUUGCAUGGUAGUCGUCAGCUCGUGUCGUGAGAUGUUGGGUUAAGUCCCGCAACGAGCGCAACCCCUGCCCUUAGUUGCCAUCAGGUAAAGCUGGGAACUUUAAGGGGACAGCUUGGUAUAACCAGGAGGAAGGUGGGGAUGACGUCAAAUCAUCAUGGCUCUUACGCCCAGGGGUAGACACGGGAUACAAUGGCAGGUACAGUGGGAUGCCAGCAUGCGAAGCUGAGUAAUCCGUAGAACCUGUCUCAGUCCGACUGGAGUCUGCACUCGACUCCA
rnacentral:rRNA from 1 species